rnacentral:rRNA from 1 species
UGGGGAAUAUUGGACAAUGGGCGAAAGCCUGAUCCAGCCAUGCCGCGUGUGUGAAGAAGGUCUUCGGAUUGUAAAGCACUUUAAGUUGGGAGGAAGGGCAGUAAGCGAAUACCUUGCUGUUUUGACGUUACCGACAGAAUAAGCACCGGCUAACUCUGUGCCAGCAGCCGCGGUAAUACAGAGGGUGCAAGCGUUAAUCGGAAUUACUGGGCGUAAAGCGCGCGUAGGUGGUUCGUUAAGUUGAAUGUGAAAGCCCCGGGCUCAACCUGGGAACUGCAUCCAAAACUGGCGAGCUAGAGUAGGGCAGAGGGUGGUGGAAUUUCCUGUGUAGCGGUGAAAUGCGUAGAUAUAGGAAGGAACAACAGUGGCGAAGGCGACCACCUGGGCUCAUACUGACACUGAGGUGCGAAAGAGUGGGGAGCAAACAGG